AUCGCUUCUCGGCCUUUUGGCUAAGAUCAAGUGUAGUAUCUGUUCUUAUCAGUUUAAUAUCUGAUACGUCCUCUAUCCGAGGACAAUAUAUUAAAUGGAUUUUGGAGCAGGAGAUGGAAUAGGAGCUUGCUCCGUCCACUCCACGCAUCGACCUGGUAUUGCAGUACCUCCAGGAACGGUGCACCACCU
ensembl:snRNA U2 U2 spliceosomal RNA